rnacentral:misc_RNA from 1 species
GUAGGUGAACCUGCGGAAGGAUCAUUAACACGUAUCCAACGUUUAAACCAAUCUGUGAACUUUUGUAACUCGUGUUGAGCUUGGUCGAUUGACUGAGACACUUUGGGUGGCGAAGAAAACAGACUUCAUUGUCUACUUUUUUUCAAAGCUCAAGGUUCUCUGACCAACGCUCAUAUUUUUACUAACCAAUUUAACCCCUUGUACUUUACAUUUGUACUAAACUACUUUUUUUUCCUUCAAAUUUAUUUGA